rnacentral:tRNA from 2 species
GGUGGUGUAGCUCAGUGGUAGGACACUUGUCUAGUGCUUAGGAGGCCCAGGGUUCAAUUCCCAGCACCCCA